rnacentral:rRNA from 1 species
AUUGAACGCUGGCGGCAGGCCUAACACAUGCAAGUCGAACGAGUGGCGGACGGGUGAGUAAUGUCUGGGAAACUGCCCGAUGGAGGGGGGUAACUACUGGAAACGGUAGCUAAUACCGCAUACCAUCGGAUGUGCCCAGAUGGGAUGAGCUUGUAGGUGAGGUAACGGCUCACCUAGGCGACGAUCCCUAGCUGGUCUGAGAGGAUGACGAGGCACAAGGGAACUGAGAAACGGUCGAGCCUCCUACGGUAGGGCGCAUUGGGGAAUAUUGCAAAAUGGGGGCAAUCCUGAUGCAGCCAUGCCGCGUGUAUGAAGAAGGCCUUCGGGUGGUAAAGUCCUUUCAGCGGGGAGGCGUUACCCGCAGAAGAAGCACCGGCUAACUCCGUGCCAGCAGCCGCGGUAAUAC